rnacentral:lncRNA from 10 species
AUGGGCAAGAGGAAAGACAGAACCAUGGUGCAACAGAGCUGCAUGGCCCUCAGAACCCUAAGAACACAGCUGCACGGUCCUCAGAACCCUAAGAACACAGCCAGGCUCAGGGCUCUGCAGGUGGAGUCACACUCAACCCACAGCCUCCUUCCCACAUUAGCAGCCACCUCAGCCCAUCCAGCCCAGCCCAGGCCAGUCCAGCUCAGUCCAGUCCAGUCCAGCCCAAGUCAGCCUAGCUUAGCUCAGCUUAGCCUAACCAGCUGAGCUUGGCUCAGGUCUGUCCAGCUCAGCCCAGCUCAGCUCAGCCCUUCCAAUCACAGCUUAGUCCAGUUCAGCUUGACUCAGCCCAGCUGAACCCAGUUUAGUCUAACCCAGCACAGUUCAGCUGAACCCAAUUGAGCCCAGCCCAGCUUAGUCCACUCAGGCGAGCCUAGUGUAGCCCAGUUCACUUUGGCACAGUUCAGCUCAGCCCAGCCCAGCUCAUCCCAGCUGAACUCACUUAGAUCACCCCAGCCCAAUUUAGUUCAAUAAUUUAAGCCCUGCUCACUCCAGCUUUUAACCCUGUCCAUCAGCAGGUCUCUCAUCCAGCCUAGCCCUCCUCAGCUCAAUCCAAUUUAGCUCAGCCCAACUUAGCCUAACCAGCUAAGCUUGGCUCAGGUCUGUUCAGCUCCGCUCAGCCCGGCUCAGUGCAGCUCUGCUAAGCCCAGGCCAGGUCAGGUAAGCUCAACAGGUAAUACCCUAGCUUGGUGUCAGUCCAGAUAGUCCACGAACACCCCUUUUAUCCUAAGUAGAGAACUGUAGCUUGUCCCUACUCCUGUGUCGGCCCAGCUUAUUUCAACCAAGUCCAGCCGAGUCCAGGUCAGCCUAAUUUAGCUUAACCCAAUCCUGGACCACUCAGUGCAGGCCACCUCAGCUCAGCCUGAUUUUGCCCUGCCCCCCAGAUAAGUCCAGCUCAGCCCAGCUCAGUCCACCUUAGGGCUUAGAAUAACCCAGCUCAAACCUGGCUCAAUUGAGGGUAGAUCAUCUCACUCUACCCAGUCCACUCACUCAGCUCAGCUAAACCCACCUGGCCCGGGCCAGCCCCGAUCGCCCUGGCUCAGUACAGCUCAGCUUGGCCAGCCUAUCCUCUAAAGGGACAGGGUAGCCCUCUCAGCCCACCCAGCUCGCCUCAGCUCAGUCUGUUCUGCCUGUCCGUCUAGUCCACUCAGUCCAUCCAGC